rnacentral:rRNA from 1 species
GUGGAUGCCUUGGCGAUCACAGGCGAUGAAGGACGUGUAAGCCUGCGAAAAGCUACGGGGAGCUGGCAAUAAAGCUUUUGAUCC